rnacentral:rRNA from 1 species
AACGCGAAGAACCUUACCAGGGAUUGACAUGACGGUAGUAGUGAAGCGAAAGCGGAACGACCCUUCGGGGAGCCGUCACAGGUGAUGCAUGGCUGUCGUCAGCUCGUGCCGUGAGGUGUUUGGUUAAGUCCACUAACGAGCGCAACCCCUAGCGCCAGUUACAAGUGUCUGGCGCGACUGCCGGUAUUAAGCCGGAGGAAGGUGGGGAUGACGUCAAGUCAGCAUGUCCUUUAUACCCUGGGCGACACACACGCUACAAUGGCCAGCACAAUGGGUCGCCAAGCCGUGAGGCGGAGCCAAUCCUAAAAAGCUGGUCUCAGUUCGGAUUGCAGGCUGCAACCCGCCUGCAUGAAGUCGGAGUUGCUAGUAACCGCAGGACAGCUAUACUGCGGUGAAUACGUUCCCGGGCCUUGUA